AAACAUAGCGCAGCGCUACACAAAAUAAACGUUGCCUUCGCGUGGAAAUAUGGCUUUUAUCUUUAUUUUUAAAUGGAAAAGCAUUUACCUUAAACAAGACUAACAAAAAUUACAAUCGUUGAGUGGAAUUUUCAAGCUGUUAGAGUUGUAUAAUGUGAUAUAAAAAGCCAGGAAAACUUUGCCAGUGGAAUGUUCGCUAUAAACGCGUAAGUUAAAACUACAAUUGUCUCGAACAUUUUGAUGUAAAUUAUUAAUAAGUGUUGGAUCGGAAAGCUAGAUUAAGACGUUAAGGUUAAUAAGUGCAUCAUUGUGAAUGACAUUCGCGUCUGUUAAUGAUCACAGAGCAGUCGAACUUUUGCCAGUGUAGAUAAUCAGCCUUUAUUUUAUCUCAGAAUUGGUUUAAUAUGACAAGUGUACAUCAUGACACGCAAACCAGUGCAUGGGUCAGUAUAGUUUUGUAAUUCAAGGAGAGAGGACACUGCUACAUCUUUUAGAGGAUAUUUAUGGUAAAAGAAUAGACGAAAAAGAGCGACAGGGAAAACAUCUGUACUGUAAGUGACAAAUUCAUGUGCAUGCAGUUUAUAAAUUUAUUGUGUAGUUAUGUUUUAUAUAGUUAGUUUAUACGAUUUAGUAUUAAUUUAAGUUAUAUCUGUUCUAUUUAGUCGAACCACGUUUCACGUUUUAUGUUCACGGUUACUGUGCGUUUUACACGUUAAAGACUUUUGUUGAAAUUAUAUACUUGAAACUAUCGUCUCGAGUUUGCGAUCGUGUAUUUCGUUGCCGUUGGUUUUGUCAGAAUUUGUUUAUAUUCUGAACUAUUUCGCCACGUGCGU